CUGGUGACUCUCCGAAGCAGUCCUGCAGGGAUCCGGGAUCUUCCGCUAUCUGGCUGUGCCAUUUCGGAAUCGAAAAAUCACACGGGCCCACCCAGAUGCAAGAAAGGCUGGGAGAUGUCAUCAUGUGUGCUUGGGAGGCAAAUGAAAGUCUGAUGACUUUGGAGCAUGGUUUCCACCAAAAUUAUCAUUUCCUCAGCACGGGUCGGCAGGUGUUCUGCUCUGGGCGGAUCUUGCAGCCACUGUCAUGAAUGUUACCAGCCCCUGUGGCAGAGGAAAGAGAGGAAGCUGUGGGAAGAACUUUCAUGGGAAGUUAAGCGCUCCAGCAUGGAAAUCACACCCACUUCGUCUUGGGUUAACUGGCAAGAACUAGCUACCUGGUCCCUCCCCAAAGACAAAGGAUCAGAAAAGGCAACCUGAGAUGUCCAAGAGCUGGAAAUACAGGGUAAAAAGCCCUUAAGACUACUCACUACACCUUCUCCUCCUCCUCCUCCCAGGAUUCUCUCUUCUCUUUUGAUCCCUCUGGUCUCUUCAUGGGGUCCCCUUCCAUGAAGGAGGCUCAGGGUCAGGUUUUUCAGGUUUUAGGUACGCAUCUUACUUCGGACCUUCAGCACUAAUGGAAGAGGAUGUUGUUGGUUUUCCAGAGUAAAGCAUCUCCAAUUUAGCUACGUCUUUCUUUUGCUCUUUUUGAUGGCUUCUCCUAGCAUGCCUUUGGUAAAUUGUUUUGCUGGGAAAGUCUUCCCACGUAAGGCAUCUGACGUUGUGGAACAGAGACAGGCCAUUUUUGCUGUGCUAUGGCCAAACUGCUGCCCAUAUAAUCUAUUUCACUAAAGACUUCCAGGAGCCAGUGGAGAGAGGCAAAGAGAAGUGGGUGAGGGAUUAAAAAAAAGUCUUAAUGCAUUUGUAAUG